rnacentral:rRNA from 1 species
AUGGCAGGCGAGGACACCAACCCCAAGUCCAGCACUUCCACUGCUGCUGUCCCGUACGUGUUCUUACUCUUUCUCUUAGAUGUCAUGACACAGUUCUUUGCUCUACUUUCCGUCCUACAUGUGUUAGGUUCUACUUCAUAUAUGCAACUUCAUCUAGUGUCUGUUCUAGAUGUAUUUAGUUCAAGUUCAUAUAUGCAGAUACUCUUUACCUUCUCUCUGACCGAACGCAUGACUUGUUUUAUCUCUACUAUAUUAGUCAUGCUUUAUCUAGUAUUUCUGUUAAUAAAAUCAUUCGGUAAAUUGCUCAUAUUUCCAACAAGUAGCACUACGCGAGAUGACUGA